CAGCCGCCGCGGUAAUACGUAGGGUGCGAGCGUUAAUCGGAAUUACUGGACGUAAAGCGUGCGCAGGCGGUUCGUUAAGACAGAUGUGAAAUCCCCGGGCUUAACCUGGGAACUGCAUUUGUGACUGGCCGGCUAGAGUAUGGCAGAGGGAGGUGGAAUUCCACGUGUAGCAGUGAAAUGCGUAGAUAUGUGGAGGAACACCGAUGGCGAAGGCAGCCUCCUGGGCCAAUACUGACGCUCAUGCACGAAAGCGUGGGGAGCAAACAGGAUUAGAUACCCCCGUAGUCCCUGUCUCUUAUAC
rnacentral:rRNA from 1 species